rnacentral:rRNA from 1 species
ACGCAAUAGAUACCCAGGUAGUCCACGCCCUAAACGAUGUCGACUGGUUGUUGGGGGUUUGACACUCUCAGUAAACGAAAGCUAAACGCGUGAAGUCGACCGCCUGGGGAGUACGGCCGCAAGGUUAAAACUCAAAGGAAUUGACGGGGACCCGCACAAGCGGUGGAUUAUGUGGAUUAAUUCGAUGCAACGCGAAAAACCUUACCUACCCUUGACAUGUCCUGAAUCCCGGUGAGAGCUGGGAGUGCCCGAAAGGGAACGGGAACACAGGUGCUGCAUGGCUGUCGUCAGCUCGUGUCGUGAGAUGUUGGGUUAAGUCCCGCAACGAGCGCAACCCUUGUCAUUAGUUGCUACAUUCAGUUGGGCACUCUAAUGAGACUGCUGGUGACAAACCGGAGGAAGGUGGGGAUGACGUCAAGUCCUCAUGGCCCUUAUGGGUAGGGCUUCACACGUAAUACAAUGGCGCGUACAGAGGGUUGCCAAGCCGCGAGGUGGAGCCAAUCCCACAAAGCGCGUCGUAGUCCGGAUUGGAGUCUGCAACUCGAC